CCCGAUCAUGCAGUGUAGACUUUGGCACACCAAACAGUUCACUUGCAUGACGAACGAACAUACCUUCCUCCUCCACUGCCUUCAAUGCUUUAAUCAUGCUUACAUCUUCCCACUGACAAUAAUAUUGGGGCCUUUCGAUAACAAGCUUGGAAGGGUCAGCCUCUACUAACGAAUUAGAUACCAGUAUUCUUCCUGAUAGAGGUUUUUUUGACAUGUCAACAAACUUCACCUAAAUCAAAACAGAUCUAUGCUUGAUAAAUGAAGUGUAAUACUUGCCUUAUCGAGUGAAACCGAGAGUGAAACACAGUAAUAACAGCUUAUCAACCUCGUUAUCAAGAUUAAAACAACUGAGGUGAGACUCAUGAGACCUGACACAGCAAACAACACGAGGCAGCAGUGUAUUGGGUGGAGCAUAAGUGGACGACAAUUAGAGUAAAGGGUUAAUUAUCGGCCACGCCCAUCAAUCGGACACUCUUGUUUCACUGUGCUAAAACUUUCUGCUUAUCUUCUUUUAUCAGCUGGUGCUUCUUAUCAUGAGGUGCUUGUAAGUGAAAAUUCUCGGACGGUCCUCACUUCGGACAUGAGAGUGAAUCCGCGGACGGUGGCUCUCCUGUUAAGAGGGAAGAGAGAAUGGUGCUCUUGCUAUUAUCAAUGGUUACACCAAUGAAUGGGGUUUACCAAAAGCAGACAACUUUGAAUCUAUUCUGCACUGAUUGCGGGAAAUCGUCACUCCACCACGGGUCCUAUGGGAGCCAUAUUUCAGACACCCAAUGUUCGGACGAGUAUUUUUAAAAAUGUAUUUUGUAUUGUUUUAUUCAGUCAAUUCUGCUGUUUAUCCUUGUUAAUUGUUACUAGCCAUAUCCUAUUAUUAUUAUUAUCAAUAAUUCAAAGACCAUGCUGGAUCUUCGGAUGAACUAUUAACAUUCUAAAAAAUUCAUUCAGUUUUAUCAUUCACAAAA